rnacentral:rRNA from 1 species
GAUGAACGCUGGCGGCGUGCUUAACACAUGCCAGUCGAGCGAGAAGUUUUGAAAAGAUUCUUCGGAUGAAAUUUAAAAUGGAAAGCGGCGGACGGGUGAGUAACGCGUAGGCAACCUGCCCCAUACAAAGGGAUAGCAUUUGGAAACGAAUAUUAAUACCUUAUGAAACUUAACUAGUGCAUGCUAGGUAGGUCAAAGAUUUAUCGGUAUGGGAUGGGCCUGCGUCUGAUUAGCUAGUUGGUGAGGUAACGGCUCACCAAGGCGACGAUCAGUAGCCGACCUGAGAGGGUGAACGGCCACAUUGGAACUGAGACACGGUCCAAACUCCUACGGGAGGCAGCAGUGGGGAAUAUCGCACAAUGGGGGAAACCCUGAUGCAGCAACGCCGCGUGAACGAUGAAGGCCUUUGGGUCGUAAAGUUCUGUUCUAGGUGAUGAAAACUGACAGUAACCUAGGAGAAAGCCCCGGCUAACUCCGUG